rnacentral:rRNA from 1 species
UACGGAGGGGGCGAGCGUUAUUCGGAAUUAUUGGGCGUAAAGGGCGCGUAGGCGGCUGUACAAGUCAAAGGUGAAAUCCCUCGGCUCAACUGAGGAACUGCCUUUGAAACUGUACGGCUUGAGGCCGGGAGGGGGUAGCGGAAUUCCCAGUGUAGCGGUGAAAUGCGUAGAUACUGGGAGGAACACCAGUGGCGAAGGCGGCUACCUGGACCGGUUCUGACGCUGAGACGCGAAAGCGUGGGGAGCAAACAGG